UUUCUUUUUCCCCACUCACGUUCGGAUCCCCUCUCCCUUUCUUUUCUUCCUCUUUUCUCUCCCUCUUCUUUCCCGCACAUCACGCCCACUUCCCCAUUUCCUUUUCUUUUCUUUCUUUUCCCCUCUUCCCUAUUUCUUCUCCCCCCUCUCGGCCGAAUCCUUUUCUUCCUCUCUUCUUCUUCCUCCCCGAAGCCUCCCCUUUUCUUCCUCUCCCCGCACACAGCAGCCCACCUCUUCCCCAUUUUUCCUUCAACCCGUCACACGCACACCCAUCCUCCCGUGAGAGAUCGAGGGUGAGCUUCUGAGAGUGAGAUGCUGACCCAGCCGUGAGAGAGACUUGCAGAGAUGGAAAGCAACCGAGAACUGUUGUCCGGUCUGAAAUAGAAAAGGAAGAUCAAUUGGUACUCGGGUCGUAGUUGACGGGAUUGUAGAAGAGUAUUUGGGAUAUCAUGACCGAAGCUCGCCGUGACGGUCGUAAUUGCGGGACCAUGGGCGUCCUCAAUUUUAUAGGUUUUGUUUAUGGCUUGUGACGCCUAAGUCACUUGUUAUUGUGUAAAGCUAUCUCUGUUAUGUAAUUAUAUUGAGGAAAGACUUAAACAGAUAGAUGUUAAAUGGCUCUUGUUAUUAAUUUAUGACAGAUGUUUAAGAUGUGAUUUCUGCUA